AGGCAUAUCGUACAAUGGUGAGUACGCCCGUCCUGGGAAUACCCUAACGUGAUUAACUAGGGCAAACAAAGAUACGGAUAACGGUGGUUCGAUUCCACCUGUGCCGA
rnacentral:tRNA from 1 species